AGCCUUACGAUUAGCUUUAGCUUUUUAAUGUAAGGUCCCUCCUGCCCAGUGAUUAUUUUACUUAUUCAACGGCCGCAGUACCCUGACUGUGCUAAGGUAGCAUAAUAAGUUGGCUUUUAAUUGAAGUCGAGAAUGAACGGGUGAACGGGCAAAAUCUGUCUCAUGAAGAAUUUUUAAAAGUUGCUUAAGAGGUGAAAAUUCCUCUAUAAUAUGUAAUAGACGAGAAGACCCUUAGAGUUUUGAUUAUAUAAAUUUAUAAUUUAUUCUUUUUUGUUGGGGCGACAAGAUUACAACAGUACUAUUAAAAUUAGGUUUUGAUGCUUUAAAUUAGCAAAAAACUUUCAAUAUCAGUACGAAACUAAUCAGCUUAUAAGGUUCUACGAACCGGCUUUUAGAAUUUUCGGGAAAGCUACCUGAGGGAUAACAGCAUAAUUUAUUUAUUAAGAUUGUGACCUCGAUGUUGGAUUAGGGGCUACAAAGGCUAGCAGUUUUUGUUGUUUGUUCUGUUCGAACUAUGUUACCU
rnacentral:rRNA from 1 species